CCUAUCGGUACACGUAGAUUCCUGCCUAUAACACAUCGAACACUUGUCAACACUUGUAGAGUUUUGUAAAAAAAUGUUAACGCAGCAGAAGAAGAAUUGAUUUUGAGUCAAUUUAAAUUUUCAAAUUUUGAAAUUUGGUAAUUCGGGGAUUUAGAUAUUUACAAUUUAAAAAUAUAGAAAUCUGAGAGUUUGGAAAAUGUAAGAAUGUAACAUUUUCAAAAGUUGUCAAGAUGUACAUCAGUGUUUUCGAAAAUACAAGAUAUUAAAAAUUUGCAAGUUCCUACAUUUGACCCUCCAAAAUGAAAAGCAAGUAGUGGGAGUAUGUUUCCCUAUGUAUAUUCUCAUCCAAAGUAAGCCUACACUCGGCUCGAGUGUAGAAAGAAAAGGGGCUAUUUAUUCCAAGCAUAUCGUGGUCGAAAAGUGCACGCACGAUAGCGUGCAAGGGAGCGAGGCGAGGAACACGGCCAGCUGUUUGUUUUGUUUUCGGGCAUGAGAUUCACGUGACACCACCGGUGCUGGUGGCGGCUCGUACGGCAGCGCCGUAUCAGAGCGUUUGAUUGGUCGAGGCAGUGCACUCGCGCACCGCUGGGCCAAUCGGUAUUCGCGUAAGAAGCGACGUCUGGUGCUUGUACGGUGCAGAGACGUUUGACAUCGAUAAAUGCGUGAGAGUGCUCGCGAAGUGCGGAGGUAUCAGGCUGUCGCUCGCUCGUCGGCUUGUCGUAGUCGUCGUCGUCGUCGUCGGGGGCUCGUGGGCUCGUCGUCGUCGGUCAGUUGGUGUCUCCUUUUCUUUGUCCUAGCCCCCCACUUCGCGGAAAGUCUGUGCAAUAGUAGUGUUAGGCAGUGCCGAUCCCACAGUGACCGUCUUUCUUUACGUCGUCGCUCAGCUGCGCCUACUUUCGUGUGCGAGCGAACGUAUCCGGCGUGCCAAAUGUCACUAGGUGGACGAUAGGGUCGAAAUACACUCGAUCCUCGACGUCGUACAUACGCACGCGUUUUACCAGUGCAUGUAUACAACGUAGAGUGAAUGUUGUGAAACGAAGGUGAAGAAAGAAGAACCGACGAAGUCAGGCGGAAAGAAGAAGGAUCGAGUGGAACACGUCGUUGGGUAAAAAAAGUAGAGAGAAGGAUAAACUGGCGCGUAAGCGGACCAGGCAAGUAGAAGUUCGAGAGUAAGAGACAGACACGAACGAUAUAACUAAAUUCUUUGCACGUGGAACGAACGACGGAGAGUGUAAACGGGAACGGGAAGAAAGAUCGAAA
rnacentral:lncRNA from 1 species